rnacentral:rRNA from 1 species
GAUGAACGCUAGCGGGAGGCCUAAUACAUGCAAGUCGAACGGUAAGGUCCCUUCGGGGAUACACGAGUGGCGGACGGGUGCGUAACGCGUACGAAACAUACCUUCAACAGGGAGAUACCUCCGGGAAACUGGAAAUAAUACCCCAUAGUAUUGAGAUAUCGCAUGAUAUUUCAAUUAAAGCUUUGGCGGUUGAAGAUUGUCGUGCGUCUGAUUAGCUAGUUGGUGAGGUAACGGCUCACCAAGGCGACGAUCAGUAGCUGGUCUGAGAGGAUGAUCAGCCACACUGGAACUGAGACACGGUCCAGACUCGUACGGGAGCAGCAGUAGGGAAUA